ensembl:lncRNA
UUCGCCGUCAUACCGGGAAAGGUAUGUAUAACUUUGAGCAACUCUUGGGAACGGGAAGAUCUUUUUCCUCAAAGCGUGUGAGGUCAGAGUAGAGGGAAGGAGGGAUCAUGUUGGUAUAAAUGGAAUUAGCUGCUCCAUGUUUGUGAAGAGGGCACAUUUACCAUUGGUUCCAAUCAGGUGCACACUCGGGGCUUAGCUGAAUAAUUUCUAAUGUUGCUGGUCCUCUCAGAGACUGUCCCUAACAAGGUCUUCAUUACAGACACCGCCGACGCCUUGGCUCAGCACCCACACACGGCGCUUUCCUUCUGGGCCUAAGUCCUAGGUUUCCUGCUGUCACGAUACCAUCCCGUCCUCCCCUGCCUGGAGGAGAGUAAGCAACUACCAGGGUACUACUGGUGUAGCUUUUUCAGUUCUGCCUCUCUCCUCUCAGCAGAAAAGUGGGGACUCUUUUAUUUCUCCCCUCCUCACUUGGGUGAGUGCACUCACUCCUAGAUCCUGGGAAGUUUUUCAUAUCACCAAACUCAGCCUUUGACCCUUUUCCUUCUUGCAGAAAUCCAUGUUUCUAUCAGUAUCUCUUCCUUGGCCCAAACUGUCAGAUCUGAGAUUUGAUUUUACCCUACUGACAAAUAAUAAUUUAGCCAGUUGCUAGUUCAUGGCUGCCGGCAGAGACAGGAGACUCCUGGGACAGAGACAAAAGAUGUUAUCAUCUAUGGCACAAACAGCAGCAUGAGCAUCAGCAUAUUGUCAUCGGAUGCUUUGCUCCCAAAUCCCAGGGUCCAGAUAAAUAACUGUGUACAUAGUGGGUUUGCAUUGCAGUUGAGGAACUCUGAGCUUAGAAAAGUCACUGCUUUUAUAACUAGCAGUAGUCAAGCCUGGUCUUUGUCUUUCAUCUUCAGAGGAACUCUGAGAAAUGGCCCAGGUGAAAAAGGAGCCAGACUUUUGCAGUCUUUGCAUACCCAGUUAGGCCCAAAGAAGACUGCUUUCUCAAUAAGGCAUAACACUUUUCGCUUCUGCAGACACUGCAUUGGAAGAGGCAGGCAGUGUUAUUUCCAGAGCUACCCAGAAUGGGGUGAAACCAGUGGCUGAAACAAUAGAUAACAAAAGCUAUUCAAUUUUUGGCCUUUGGAUUAGUGAAAUAAUAGAUAUUUUGAAAGCAGGGGAGCAAAUUCUAGGUGUAGAAGAGAAAGAUGACAAACUUAUCUUUCAUUUAAUAUUUCAUCACUGUUUAGAGUCAGUGUCUUAAUAGUCCUAUUUGAUUGUUUCUAAGUGAAUCAGCUCUCCUGCCUGUUUCCAGUUUAUAGAAAAUGCAACAUUGUCUUGCUUUUUUAUUUGUUCUUCCCUGGUACUGAGGGAAAUUUUAUUUUAUAUUAACAGUGUAAAGCUAAUUAAAGAUAUGAUAUUUCCACUUUUUUGCCUUCCCUUUUAGACCCUUGUUAGGUUAUUUACUGAUUUAUCUGGGGCAUAAAAUCUGUAAGUCUCAUAUACAUAUAUACUUUCUCAUACUCUUCAAAUAAUUCGUAUAUUUAUAGACAGUUGUGUUGGGGCACAGCUGAAUUGAGUCACUAGGACUGUAAAAAUUAAAUAUAUUAACAAUACUUUUUAGAUUUUCUAGUUUUAAAAUAUGCAAUUUGCUUUUUUGUUUGCCUUAUCUGAACCCAUAAGUAAAUUUUUAAAAUAAAAUUGAUCAUUUCUUUGGA